CCGGUCAAUAAAUACUACUGAGAUGAUAAUAUAAUGUGAUUGGGUUCUUGCCUCAUACCAUGCAGAUAAUUCAGUUACAGGGAAAGUGGCCAGACCUUCCUCUCCUUGACUUGCUCUCCGACGCCUCAACUUAUAACACUACAGAUUCACUUCUGUGAUUUAAGUUUCAUCCCUUGUUGAAAUGCAACUUCCCCUG
rnacentral:lncRNA from 12 species